GAGUUCAAGAGUACGUUAAACUGCUUAGAGGUAAAGCCUGAUGAACCUGAAUAUCCAUUAUGGAAAAUUCAUCACAAUGUUAUAAUAUAUUUUUAUAUUAUAAAAUGGUGUGCAUUUUUUCCAUAAAGGACAUUGUAAUCGGUUAAUAAAUUAAAAGUUUAUCAAAAGAUUCAUUAUAAGAGUUUAUUCUAGUUAAAUUUUUUUAAAAUUUAAAAUUGAAUAAAUUUAAUGAAUUUGAUAGAUUGUUGACCGAUUUAAUUAUAAUAAUGUAAAAAUUUUCUUUGGAAAUUUUACAAUAAUUAUUUAUGUAUUCUUUGAAUACAUAUUUUUUUUAUUGUAUACAUUUUUAUGAUUUACAAUGCUAUAAAUUUUCAGGAUACCCAGGACCCGUCUUGAAACACGGACCAAGGAGUCUAACAUAUGUGCAAGUCGUUGAGUAACUUAAAUGAAACUCAAAGGCGUAAUUAACUUAACUGUUUUUAAAUGGGAUUAGUUUAUAUAUAUUUUUUAAUGUAAAUUCCAUCCCAGGGCGUUCUAUAUAGUUAUGCAUAAUGAUAUUUAUAUAUUUAUGUCUCUAACUGAGC
rnacentral:rRNA from 1 species